CAACCUGCCGAUGACUCGGGGAUAGCCUUUCGAAAGAAAGAUUAAUACCCGAUGGCAUAGUUCUUCCGCAUGGUAGAACUAUUAAAGAAUUUCGGUCAUCGAUGGGGAUGCGUUCCAUUAGGUUGUUGGCGGGGUAACGGCCCACCAAGCCUUCGAUGGAUAGGGGUUCUGAGAGGAAGGUCCCCCACAUUGGAACUGAGACACGGUCCAAACUCCUACGGGAGGCAGCAGUGAGGAAUAUUGGUCAAUGGACGAGAGUCUGAACCAGCCAAGUAGCGUGAAGGAUGACUGCCCUAUGGGUUGUAAACUUCUUUUAUACGGGAAUAAAGUGAGGCACGUGUGCCUUUUUGUAUGUACCGUAUGAAUAAGGAUCGGCUAACUCCGUGCCAGCAGCCGCGGUAAUACGGAGGGUCCGAGCGUUAUCCGGAUUUAUUGGGUUUAAAGGGAGCGUAGGCGGACGCUUAAGUCAGUUGUGAAAGUUUGCGGCUCAACCGUAAAAUUGCAGUUGAUACUGGGUGUCUUGAGUACAGUAGAGGCAGGCGGAAUUCGUGGUGUAGCGGUGAAAUGCUUAGAUAUCACGAAGAACUCCGAUUG
rnacentral:rRNA from 1 species